rnacentral:rRNA from 1 species
GACGAACGCUGGCGGCGUGCCUAAUACAUGCAAGUCGAGCGAAGUUUUUCUGGUGCUUGCACUAGAAAAACUUAGCGGCGAACGGGUGAGUAACACGUAAAGAACCUGCCUCAUAGACUGGGACAACUAUUGGAAACGAUAGCUAAUACCGGAUAACAGUAUUUCUCGCAUGAGAGAUAUUUAAAAGUUGGUUAUGCUAACACUAUGAGAUGGCUUUGCGGUGCAUUAGCUAGUUGGUGGGGUAAAGGCCCACCAAGGCGACGAUGCAUAGCCGACCUGAGAGGGUGAUCGGCCACACUGGGACUGAGACACGGCCCAGACUCCUACGGGAGGCAGCAGUAGGGAAUCUUCCGCAAUGGGCGAAAGCCUGACGGAGCAACGCCGCGUGAGUGAAGAAGGAUUUCGGUUCGUAAAGCUCUGUUGUUAGGGAAGAAUGGAUAUGUAGUAACUAUACAUGUACGAGACGGUACCUAACCAGAAAGCCACGGCUAACUACGUGCCAGCAGCCGCGGUAAUACGUAGGUGGCAAGCGUUGUCCGGAAUUAUUGGGCGUAAAGCGCGCGCAGGUGGUUUAAUAAGUCUGAUGUGAAAGCCCACGGCUCAACCGUGGAGGGUCAUUGGAAACUGUUAAACUUGAGUGCAGGAGAGAAAAGUGGAAUUCCUAGUGUAGCGGUGAAAUGCGUAGAGAUUAGGAGGAACACCAGUGGCGAAGGCGGCUUUUUGGGCCUGUAACUGACACUGAGGCGCGAAAGCGUGGGGGAGCAAACAGG